CGGAGUGUAGCGCAGUCCGGUAGCGCAUUUGGUUUGGGACCAAAGGGUCGCAAGUUCGAAUCUUGCCACUCCGA
rnacentral:tRNA from 1 species